rnacentral:rRNA from 1 species
UACGUAGGGUGCAAGCGUUGUCCGGAAUUAUUGGGCGUAAAGAGCUCGUAGGCGGCCUGUCGCGUCGGCUGUGAAAACUCAGGGCUCAACCCUGAGCCUGCAGUCGAUACGGGCAGGCUAGAGUCCGGCAGGGGAGACUGGAAUUCCUGGUGUAGCGGUGAAAUGCGCAGAUAUCAGGAGGAACACCGGUGGCGAAGGCGGGUCUCUGGGCCGGAACUGACGCUGAGGCGCGAAAGCGUGGGGAGCAAACAGG